GAGCUAUAGGAGUCCACAUGCAAAGGGGGCAGAGAGAGGGUCUAGGAAUGAAAGGUGGUCCCCAGCUGGCAAAAUAAUAGGGAGAGCAGUCUUGCAACAGCAAGAAACUAGGUUCUGCCGACAAUCUGAAUGGGCCUGGAAGUGGAUUCUUCCCAUGACCAACCAAUUAGAGCCACCUGGACAACACCUUGACUUUCACCCUGGCAAGACCCUGGGUGGAGAAAACCAGUCCAGCUGUCUGGACCCUGGACCUGUAAAGCUGUGAGAUCUUAGAGGCUGAGUGACUGGAGCCCCAGGGGCCUCUUGACCCUGGACUUUCCCAGUGGGUGAAAGACAGCUGUUCCCUGGAGAAGAAACAGGUCCUCGUGUCUGCUCCCUGUAUGCAGCCCCCUCAGAGGUGAUACCUGUUUUCUGAAGUGGUUGCAGCCAAAAAAAAGUACAUUCUUUUCGCACAUAAAUGAAGACAGUGCGUCAGCUGGUAUGGUACUCCAUGGUAUAAGAUCCUUCCAUUGUGCUUCAUUCUCCUCUGCACAGGACUGGAGCUGCUUAAACUCCCAGAAGACUGCUUGAGCUCCAGCCAUCACAUCUAAAUUCCAGCCAACAAAAAGGAGGAAAAAAAAAAGUUUCACCCUUUUCCUUUGAAUAUACUUUCAGAAAGUCACACUAGCCACUUCCUCUUAUUUCCCAGUGGCCAGACUUAAUCUCAUGGACACAAUAAACUGCAAAUGAUUGUAGGAAAUGUAGUCUUUAUUCUCGGUACCAACAUGCCCAGCUAAAAGUUGAGAGUUCCAUCAUGAAGGAAGAAGAGAGAAUAGAUUUGUAGGACAAUGAACAAUCUCUGCCAUAGAC
ensembl:lncRNA